GUCCUGCUGGUGCGCGGUGCACGUCUGCUCUUAUUUAAAAUAUCUCACAUCCAAUGAUGCAGAAGGAUCCCGUUCGACUCGGGAGCAGGACA